rnacentral:rRNA from 1 species
GCAAGUCGAACGAACUCGGACUUCGGUCCAUAUGAGUGAGUGGCGAACGGGUGAGUAACACGUGAGAAACCUGCCCCGAAGUCGGGAAUAACUCAGGGAAACCUGAGCUAAUACCGGAUGCCCUCUUUUGAUCGCAUGAUCAGCUGAGGAAAGAUUUAUCGCUUUGGGAGGGUCUCGCGACCUAUCAGCUAGUUGGUGAGGUAAUGGCUCACCAAGGCAUCGACGGGUAGCUGGUUUGAGAGAACGAUC